AUUUUGGACAAUGGGCGCAAGCCUGAUCCAGCCAUGCCGCGUGCGGGAAGAAGGCCUUCGGGUUGUAAACCGCUUUUGGCAGGAACGAAACGGCGCGAGCGAAUAUCUCGCGUUAAUGACGGUACCUGCAGCAUAAGCACCGGCUAACUACGUGCCAGCAGCCGCGGUAAUACGUAGGGUGCAAGCGUUAAUCGGAAUUACUGGGCGUAAAGCGUACGCAGGCGGCUUUGCAAGACAGGUGUGAAAUCCCCGGGCCUAACCUGGGAACUGCAUUUGUGACUGCAUAGCUAGAGUUUGUCAGAGGGGGGUGGAAUUCCACGUGUAGCGGUGAAAUGCGUAGAUAUGUGGAGGAACACCGAUGGCGAAGGCAGCCCCCUGGGAUGUGACUGACGCUCAUGUACGAAAGCGUGGGGAGCAAAC
rnacentral:rRNA from 1 species